AGCUCAGGGGGAGAGCGCCAUCCUGACGCGGUGGAUGUCCAGGGUUCAAAUCCCUGC
rnacentral:tRNA from 1 species